AGGAUUUUUUUACGUUUCCGGCUUACGAUGCGUCUCAAGAACGGAACCCCUGUCAUAAGCCGGGCACUGCCUGUACUGUGACAAAAAUGAGAAAAGCAAAAUACCUUGGUUGCUCUCUUUACAAAUUCCUGUGAACAGGUAAGUAUCAAUGUUUUUAAAUGACACUUUCAUACUUUGACUCAAAAUAAAUGCUUAUCCUUUGGUAUCAUAAUGGUAUGAGAAAAUCUUUUUUGUCAUCUGAUAUACAAACUUAUUUGAUUUUGUAAUUAUACUAUGUAUGCCGACAAUAACAUCCUAAAAUGGGAAGAGAUCCUAUGUGUAUCUGAAAGCUGCAUUGCCAUUACUCCCUGGACAAUAUCUGAGUUGUAGACUUAUGCAACUCUUUUGCUUUCCAUACCUGAGGUAAGGUCCCUUUUUUAAUAGCAAUCUGACCUUGCAGAGGAAGAUUCCAGUUCUUUAUCUGUUGUCCAAAUUAACAUCUCAAUUGAGCUAAAUGGGAGGGUGACAUUGACAAACUAAUAUGUGUUGCCUGUAUAGUAAAUGCCCAGGUUCUUAAACUUAUCCAAAUCAUUUCCAUUUUUGCAGGUGGGACUGGAAGUAUCUAAUGAAUGGACAAGAGCUGGAAAGAGACAGGAAACAAAAGACAUGGAGUACCCUAGUGUGGAAGACCAAGGUGGUGUUUACUCCCAACCUGUCACACACCUGCAAAGGGUGAGAGCUGAUGCAUCCAACAAAUGGACUAGAACUGGACAGAGACAGGGAACAACUGACAGUGGGUACCUCAGUGUAGAAGACACAGGCAACAUUUACUCCCAGAACGUAGCCCAUGAGCAUGGGGUCAGUGGCGGAUUUGCACCACAUUUGGGUGUAAAAUUGUCACCUUCCUGUCCACACUGUCCUUACAUGGCAGCCUCUGAAAGCCUACUUCAGACCCACAUCCUACAACACACUAAUGAAAGACCGUUCAGCUGCCCAUUUUGUCCUUCGAGGUUCAAAGAGAGAGCAAACCUGAAGACCCACAUUCGCAGACACAAGGGCGAGAAACCUUACGCCUGCAGUCUCUGCCCUUACAGAAGUGCUCAUAACAGCGAUCUUAAAAAGCAUUACCUCAGGCAUGCAAACAAAUAGUGGCCCUUGAAUUGCAAUGGAUGAUCAGACUUCUGCAGUAUGGUGUAUUAGUUAUUAUAUGAAUGCUGUGUGUGACGUGACGAUAAGCAUUCAGCUUUCACGACUUCGUUUAUGUACCAAGAGUUUAGAUUUUGUUUAGUAAAAUAUAUACGUAUAUUUUUUUUUCUUUACUGUUUUCCAAUACUAUACUGCCAGUAUAUUUUGAUAUUCAUCAUGAGUGCUGAAGCAUAACAGCAGUUUGUCAAUAACUUACCUUACUGUUAUAUUCUUUAUGGAUGCAGAUGCAUAGGAUAAUUUGUGGAGAAAUCUUUUUCACAGUUUGAUGGAGACAAGGAAUUUUGUUCUUUUCCUUAAAAAAUAUAAUUUCUCAAAUAAAAAAAAUUAGUUUUAAUAAAAAAAAAAA